GACGAACCGUACAAACGUUAUUCGGCGUCACUGGGCUUAAAGGGUGCGUAGGCGGCGGAGAAAGUUAGGUGUGAAAUCCCUCGGCUCAACCGAGGAAUGGCGCUUAAAACUACUUCGCUCGAGGAAGAUAGAGGUGAGCGGAACUUACGGUGGAGCGGUGAAAUGCGUUGAUAUCGUAGGGAACACCAGUUGCGAAAGCGGCUCACUGGGUCUUUUCUGACGCUGAGGUACGAAAGCUAGGGUAGCGAACGGG
rnacentral:rRNA from 1 species